AUUGAACGCUGGCGGCAUGCCUAACACAUGCAAGUCGAACGCGUGGCGUACGUGUUCGUAAUGUCUGGGAAACUUCCUGAUGGAUGGGUAUAACUACUGGUAACUGUAGCUACUACCGCAUUCCAUCAGCUGUGCCCAGAUGGGAUUGGCUAGUUGGUGGGGUAACGGCUCACCAAGGCGACGAUCCCUAGCUGGUCUGAGAGGAUGACCAGCCACACUGGAACUGAGAAACGGUCCAGACUCCUACGGGAGGCAGCAGGGGGGAAUAUUGCACAAUGGGCGCAAGCCUGAUGCAGCCAUGCCGCGUGUAUGAAGAAGGCCUUCGGGUUGUAAAGUACUUUCAGCGGGGAGGCGUUACCCGCAGAAGAAGCACCGGCUAACUCCGUGCCAGCAGCCGCGGUAAUUC
rnacentral:rRNA from 1 species